CAGACAGGAUGUGGAGCUGAAAGGAAGAAGGCGGGGGAUAGUUCAAAGUCGCUGGAAACAUUGUCGCAAAAUCCGAAAGGAUUGCAAUGGAACGAUGCCCUUUAUUUAGGAAAAACUAAUAACGAAAGGCUUGCGAUUUCCGAACAUGCCACCGUGCCGAUGAUGUGGUGGCUGAUGGGAAUGUUUUACCUGUCGUUACUCCUUUUGUCUCCAUGGAUAGGACCCCAGCAAGCCUAGAGGAAUGUGGAUGAAGAGUGAUUUGGGCCCCAAAAUAAAGUUAUCCCUCCACUGAACCAAAUAGAGCUGUUUAUACACAAAGAGUUUAGCCUAGCAACCGGCUGCCACCAUGAUGAUAUCCAGGCUGGUCUGGGUGUGCCUGGCACUGAUAGGGGCGAGGAGCUGCCACGCCCACAGUCUGUUCACCUGUGAACCCAUCAAGGUGCAUCGCUGCCUGGGGAUGCUCUACAACAUGACAUUCUUCCCCAACAUGAUGGAGCACUAUGACCAGGACAUAGCAGCCAGCAGGAUGGAGCCCUUCAUGCCGCUGGUCAACCUGCGCUGCUCUCCGGAUGUACAUCACUUCCUGUGUCAGGCCUUUAUCCCAGCAUGCACUGAGGACACCAAAGUGAUCCGGCCAUGUCGUGACCUGUGUGAGAAAGUGAGGUCAGACUGCAGGAAGGACAUCGGCACCUUCGGCAUCACCUGGCCUCCGGAGCUGCAGUGCGACAGAUUGGAAGAUUGCCUCUACUCUCCAGAUGGCUCAGUCCUGCCACCAACCAGACUGACCACACCCAAGACCUCUCUGUCUGCCAAGAGGGACAUGGGCUUCUGGUGCCCCCUUCAGCUGAAGACCCGACCCGGCCAGGGAUCCACGUUCCUGGGUGCCGGGGACUGCGCUCCCCCUUGCGCCAACAUGUACUUCAAGCCCCAUGAGAUCGAGUUCGCCAAGACCUUCAUCGGGGUGUGCUCCAUCGUCUGCCUCUGCGCCACGCUCUUCACCUUUCUCACCUUCCUCAUCGACGUCAAACGCUUCCGCUACCCCGAACGGCCAAUCAUCUUCUACGCCGUGUGCUACAGCUUCGUGUCGCUCAUCUACUUCAUCGGCUUCCUGCUGGGGAACAAUGCAUCCUGCAACAAGGCGGUGCACCCGGCUGCCAUGGACACGGUAGUGCUGGGCUCCCAGAGUAAAGGCUGUACGUUACUCUUCAUGCUACUCUACUUCUUCUCCCUGGCCGGCAUCGUCUGGUGGGUCAUCCUCACCAUCACCUGGUUCCUGGCCGCCGGGCCCAAGUGGAGCUGCGAGGCCAUCGAGAAGAAGGCGGUGUGGUUCCACUCUGYCGCUUGGGGGAUCCCCGGAGCACUAACUGUCAUGCUACUGGCUCUCAACAAGGUGGAGGGAGAUAACAUCAGCGGGGUGUGCUUCGUGGGGCUCUAUGAUCUGGAUGCGCUGCGGUACUUUGUGCUGGCGCCGCUGUGUAUCGGGGUGGUGGUGGGGCUGUCUCUGCUCCUGGCUGGGAUCGUGUCGCUCAACAACGUGCGUCAGGUGAUCCAGCACGAUGAGAGGAACCAGGAGAAGCUGAAGAAGUUUAUGAUCCGUAUUGGAGUGUUCAGUGGUCUGUACCUGGUGCCCCUGGUCACUCUGCAGGGGUGUUAUAUCUAUGAACAGAGCCAGCGCUCCACCUGGGAAAACACCUGGAUCAAUGACCGUUGCCAGGAGUACAGCAUUCCCUGCUCACACAAGACUACAGAGUCUGGUCGCCCGGACCUGUCCCUAUUCCUGAUUAAAUACCUGAUGACCCUGGUGGUUGGGAUCUCAGCUGUGUUCUGGGUCAGCAGCAAGAAGACCUGCUCAGAAUGGGCCUUCUUCUUCAACAGGACCAGGAAGAAAGACCCCAUUAGUGAGAGCCGUAGAGUUCUCCAGGAGUCCUGUGAGUUCUUCCUCAAACACAACAGCCGUGUCCAGCACAAGAAGAACCACUACAACCCCGGCUCCCACAAACUCAAGGUCAUCUCCAAGUCCAUGGGCACCAGCACCGGUGCCUCAGCCACAGGCAACCACGGCACCUCAGCAGUGGUCAACCAUGAGGUCAUCCGGGGUCAGGCUUCUUUCUCUGAGGCCAGGGGCUCAUCUGAGGCCUCUGCCAGGGAGCAGCUGGAGAGAGGCAGCUCCACCCGUGGCUCCAGGCUGGGGGAGAGGGACAGGGAGAAGCAGCCCAGUGGACAGGCCCUGUCUGGGGGGAGAGAGGGGGCAGAGAGACGUAGUAAGAAGGGCAGCUCCAGCAAGGUUAGCAGCCGCUCAGAGAGCUUCCACAGAGUCCCAGAGGGAAGGAUGACUCCCCGGAGUGAACUAUCAGAGACGAGACAGGUGCCCAGUGGACAGCACCUGGCUUUAAGCCACUCCCACAGCGGCAGUGCGAAAGGCUCCGUCCCUCACCUGGUUCGCCAGUUACCAGAGGAGAAAAAGGAGAAGGAUAGCAGCUGCUGAGCCCAAUCAACAGGCUCCUAUGAUACUUAACACCAACAGAGAUGGGCAACUCUGGUCCUCAGGAGCUGGACUGAGUGUCUGCUGGUUUUUGUUCUUCCUUUCAAAUGAGCAACUGAUUUAGCCUGUCAUACCAUACCAGAUGUGUACACUCUCAGAACAAUCAGUGAUAUUAGUGGAUGGAUUUAAGUACCAGAGGGAGAAGAGAAAACCAGCAGGAAGUCAAGAAAAUCCAGAGGACAGGAGUUUUCCUUCACACCACAGAGACAGGAAGGAGGAGACUAGGUGGGCCACCAGGGUCCUAGAGAGCUCCCUUCAGUGACCGACCCAACAGGUGUAGCUACUGUACAUCAGUCAGCUUGACUGGAUCACUGGCCACAUCAAGGUGAAUGAGGUUAGAGAAUCAUGCAGCUCUUCAGACCAACGGUUGCAUUUCCCUGCUGUAAAACAGUCACUUAGGUUGACAUAUUGUUUAUUUACUUAUGAAAGCUGUACUUUUCUGAGGGUAGAUUGAUAUGUAAAGUGUGUAGAAUAUACACUGGCAAUAUUUAUGUAAACUAUUUUAUUUUUUAUCACUGGACUAGUCUACACUGAGUUUAAGCGCUUGAAAAUCGUGAAUGUUUCACCAAACAAUCAGAACUUCAACGAUAUCUAGCUGUGGUGGUUAACUCUUUUUAUUUUAUUUUUGUAUUCAAAUGGUUAAUGUCAUGUGUAUGUAGAUAAUUCCAUCAUGAAACAAUGAGUAGCAAGCAUAGCAGUUCUGUAGUUAAAGUAAUUGCAGUAGACAGGUUCUGACUACCAAUACACUCAGUCUGCUACUCUACUUUUCAUUCCUUUUCCAUUACAGUGUUCUUCAGUAUAUCUAUAAAUAGUUACAUAAGCAUUUUUCAAUUUUGCUGACUCUCGUCAUGAACUUCAUUUCCAGUAAAUCUGAGUGGAGCGUGUAUUUUUUUUAUACUACAGUUUCUAGAAGAAUGUGCCUUGUGAACUAAAUCAUGGUCUUCAGAUAACCUACUUUUUUGUCUGUCUACCUACAGAUGCUUUACAUGUGUGACAUAGUCAUUCCAUGUGCAUAUUCAUCUCCAGUGAAAUAUGUGGACAAAGUAACCAGGCUUAUUUCUGGCUCUUGACCUUAUGUAAGUUGUUGUGGUUUGACAUCUCACUACACUAGAGGAGUUACCACUUAGAGAUGAACUCAGUGCAAAGACUGAGGGAUACUGUACAAUUUGUACAGAGAUCGAAUGUAUUUUUUUUGAGUAGAUAUUUCUGUUACGCAAUUAUCUUUAAACCAAAUAUAUAUAGUAUGUAUACCUAACAUACUAACUGAUGAUCCAAUAUGAAAACACCAGUAGAAAAAUCAGAGACGAAAUCCAAUCCAAMGCAUGUACCUAGUUGAGUUGAUCUAUUUUGACCAAUGUGUGGCUUUUGUUCAGUAUUUAAAUUGUCAUGAUUCUUACUGGUAAUCCAUGAACUGUGUUUGACGACACAUUUUUCUUGCAAGCAUUUUCCCGAAAGGCCUGUUGGGAAUAAGUCUUGCACCCUUUAUUAAU